CCUCGGGCGCGAGUUUUUUCUGCAAAGGGAGCUUGCGCGACGGGCUGCGGUUAGCAGCAGGAGGUGCGAGGCGAUAACAGGUCUGUGAUGCCCUUAGAUGGCCUGGGCUGCACGCGUGCUACAAUGGCCGGCGGAGAGGGGGCGCCUGCGAGGGCGCCGGAAGCGGGAAGGCCGGCCGAGGUGGGGAUACACGCUUGGGAAUGCGUGUUGAACGAGGAAUUCCUAGUAAUCGCGUGUCACCAACGCGCGAUGACUGCGUCCCUGUCCUUUGUACACACCGCCCGUCGCUAUCUAAGAUGGACGUCCGGGCGAAGGCGCGGAACUUAACGGGAACGCGUCUGAGCCCCGGCGACUAGAUUGGAUAAAAGUCG
rnacentral:rRNA from 1 species